AAAUAAAUUAAUUUCCUAAUUAUAGCCUAAUCAUAUCCCAAUCAUAUCACACAAUCAUAUCCCUAAUUAUUACUACAAAUCUAUGCUAUUUACAGAAAUAAUCUCAAUAUACAGAAAUAAUCUCAACAAUAUAUAUUUAUGAUUAAUAUUCUCUUGAAUUGAUCAUUGAAUUUAUUGACAUGUUCAUGUAGACUGUACAUGCCAAAUGUCAAAUUGAUUAGAUAUUUGGCACGCAUAGGUAAAGCUAUUUAAAAUAACUGCAGUAAAAUAUUUUGCUAUUUUGAAUUGUCACUUUUGUUUGUGAACUUAUUCUUGAUAUUUUUUUGCCAUUUCAUGAAUGGAACUAGACGCGGGUGUCAUAUUGAGCUUGUUAAUCUUGGUCUAAAGUCUGAAUGCGAUCUUUAUAUUAUUUUUAUUGAUGCAUUGGUGAAGAAUUUGAUUGAAAGAAAAUACAUCUGAAUAGCACAGCUCGGAUUCUGAGGAGCUAAAAAAAGAAAUGGAUAUGUGGGCAUUCACAGAUAAUUGAACUCGGAUCUCCUGCACCCUAAGUGAGAAUCAUACCACUAGACCAAAUGCCCAAGUGAACUCAGGACAUUCCUUAUGCAUACUUAAUAUGUGUACAUGUUUUUUGGUACACGUUGCUAUUCGUUAGUUUUGUACAACUUUGAUUGGUCAUUGUCAAUGAACAUAUUUGGGCAAAUUUCUGUUUCUUUUGCCUUGAUGGAUGGAGUUGAUUCUGAAUCCUAUACUUAAGAUGUGUGCCCCACCUGUUUAUUGGCAUGUGUUUCUAUUCUUUAAUUCAGCAUGUCUUUGAUUGGCCAUCUUGCUUUUAAUAUUUGUACUAUUUUGCAGGGUUCAGGUAAAUUGCUGUUUUUUCCCCUUGAUGAAUGGAUUAGAUACAGGUAUGAGACUGAGCUUGCUAAUUAAUCUAAAUAUCAUCUUCAUAAACCAUAAAAAAAAUGGAAUUCCUAACAAUCCAAACAAGAAAAAAAAAAAGAAAAAAACAAAAGAGGAGGAAAUGGGUCAUUCUGAGAAUGGAACGUGCAACCUCUUGCAUCUAAGCAAGAUCAAACUACUAAACCAAAUGCCAAGCUGCUGAUGUUAUUUGCUUCGCUAAUUCAUAAUUUUAUUUUGGAUCUGGAGAACAAGAUUUUAAAGCCUUAUUUUUACUGUUUGGAUCGAAUGAAACAUUUCUAUGCAUGUUACUGAUACUGAGUGCUUGAUUUAUGAUCAGUGAUGCUGUUAUCUUUUGUCCACUUGAUGCCAAUAUCUAAUUCUCUUUUUGUUUCUUUUAUUAUUAUUAUUGUUAUUAUUAUUAUUUUUUAAAUUUUAUUACAUGGAAUCUUGUUAGAAAACUAAAAUUCUUAUUUUAUAUAUAUAUAAGAUUUUCUGUUUGACUUGGGCUUUGAUUCCUUUGCUCAAAAAGCAAUAUAAAAUGAAAUCAUAUGUGCUGCUAAUUUACUAUGUAAAUUCAUUGGCAAAGAUAAAAUGACCUAGUAGAUCUAAGAUAUUAAAAAGCAUGAAAUAUUUGUUGUCCUAUUAGACCUAGGAUAGAAUUGACUUGCUCAAAAAUGGUAAAAAAAAUGGGGGCAUUCCGAGAAUCGAACUCGAGACCUCUCGCACCCAAAGCGAGAAUCAUACCACUAGACCAAAUGCCCAUUCAUUGAUACUAGUUAUGUAGACUGUUGCUAUUGUUAGUUUGGAAGUUUGGAGUAUUAUUUAUGUGGUUAGAAGUGAAAUUGACAUACAAAUUCAGCACUUGAAUUUUAUUUGUUGCUUUUUGCUUAUUUUUAGGACAUCUUUCCUGUCAGAUGCUCCUUUUUCUGGUAUUGGGCUUUCCUUGAUUAUUCUUUGAAUUGAAACUAAAUAAUAAAUUGUGGACUAGCAGUGAGUUCACUAGUUUUAAAAUUUGGCAUCUCUACCCAUAACAUAAACUCUUCAACCUUAUUCCUCUCAACGUAAUGGUGAAAAUUCUCUUAGGAAAAAAUUGCAAGUUUAGAUAUCUGGAUUAUGGAUACACAGAGGUUUUGUUAACAACGAAUCUGUAUGCUCAUAUCAUCUGUGGUUUCUCUUUUUUUUACCUUGCUCCACCUGUUGCAAAAAUUUCAUGAUGCAUAGCACAUUUAUUUUAUUUUUAUAUGCCUAGUUUUCACUUGUUGCCUUCUCUGACCUUCACAAACAUUUGGCAGGGUUGAAAAUAGCUGGCUUUUUAAUUGAUUUCUGGUAGCAAUUUAUUAGUUGGAAAGUGGACUAAAAACUUGUAGUUAUGCAACUCCAUGACAGAUACAAGGAAAAAUUUUAAUCUUAGCAUUUGAAAUGAAAAACAAGGUUUCCAGGCAAGUUGUCCGUUCUUGAAGAAUGGAACUAGAUACAGGGUGGCCAGAUUUGAAACAGAGCAAUGAAAGGACAAACUUGUGGUUAUGUGAUUUGAUUUCAGGACAGAUUUUAAUCUCAAUAUUGGAAAUAAAAAACAAACUGAGGCAUUUUGGGGAAUCAAACUUGGGACCUUUCCCACUAGACGAAAUGCCCAUUUGUCAAAUUUGUUUUUGUUUUGAUCUAUAAACUAACAGCCCCACAUAUAGAUUACGAUUUAUAUUCUCCUGAA